rnacentral:rRNA from 1 species
UACGAAGGUGGCAAGCGUUGUUCGGAUUUACUGGGCGUACAGGGAGCGUAGGCGGUUGGAUAAGCCCUCCGUGAAAUCUCCAGGCUUAACCUGGAAAGUGCAGAGGGGACUGUUCAGCUAGAGGAUGGGAGAGGAGCGCGGAAUUCCCGGUGUAGCGGUGAAAUGCGUUGAGAUCGGGAGGAAGGCCGGUGGCGAAGGCGGCGCUCUGGAACAUUUCUGACGCUGAGGCUCGAAAGCGUGGGGAGCAAACAGG